UACGUAGGUGGCGAGCGUUAUCCGGAUUUACUGGGUGUAAAGGGUGUGUAGGCGGACUUGCAAGUCAGGUGUGAAAGGUAUCGGCUUAACCGGUAGACUGCACUUGAAACUGCAGGCCUUGAGAGUCGGAGAGGUAAGCGGAAUUCCCAGUGUAGCGGUGAAAUGCGUAGAUAUUGGGAGGAACACCAGUGGCGAAGGCGGCUUACUGGACGACCACUGACGCUGAGACACGAAAGCGUGGGGAGCAAAC
rnacentral:rRNA from 1 species